CGAGCGGUAACAGGGGUAGCUUGCUACCCGCUGACGAGCGGCGGACGGGUGAGUAAUGCAUAGGAAUUUACCCGAUAGUGGGGGAUAACCUGGGGAAACCCAGGCUAAUACCGCAUACGUCCUACGGGAGAAAGGGGGCUUCGGCUCCCGCUAUCGGAUGAGCCUAUGCCGGAUUAGCUGGUUGGUGAGGUAAUGGCUCACCAAGGCGACGAUCCGUAGCUGGUCUGAGAGGAUGAUCAGCCACAUCGGGACUGAGACACGGCCCGAACUCCUACGGGAGGCAGCAGUGGGGAAUAUUGGACAAUGGGCGCAAGCCUGAUCCAGCCAUGCCGCGUGUGUGAAGAAGGCCCUCGGGUUGUAAAGCACUUUCAGCGAGGAAGAACGCCUGGCGGUUAAUACCCGCCAGGAAAGACAUCACUCGCAGAAGAAGCACCGGCUAACUCCGUGCCAGCAGCCGCGGUAAUACGGAGGGUGCAAGCGUUAAUCGGAAUUACUGGGCGUAAAGCGCGCGUAGGUGGCUUGAUAAGCCGGUUGUGAAAGCCCCGGGCUCAACCUGGGAACGGCAUCCGGAACUGUCAGGCUAGAGUGCAGGAGAGGAAGGUAGAAUUCCCGGUGUAGCGGUGAAAUGCGUAGAGAUCGGGAGGAAUACCAGUGGCGAAGGCGGCCUUCUGGACUGACACUGACACUGAGGUGCGAAAGCGUGGGUAGCAAACAGGAUUAGAUACCCUGGUAGUCCACGCCG
rnacentral:rRNA from 1 species